CCUACGGGUGGCAGCAGUGAGGAAUAUUGGUCAAUGGACGAGAGUCUGAACCAGCCAAGUAGCGUGAAGGAUGACUGCCCUAUGGGUUGUAAACUUCUUUUAUAUGGGAAUAAAAUGUUCCACGUGUGGGAUUUUGUAUGUACCAUAUGAAUAAGGAUCGGCUAACUCCGUGCCAGCAGCCGCGGUAAUACGGAGGAUCCGAGCGUUAUCCGGAUUUAUUGGGUUUAAAGGGAGCGUAGGUGGAUUGUUAAGUCAGUUGUGAAAGUUUGUGGCUCAACCGUAAAAUUGCAGUUGAAACUGGCAGUCUUGAGUAUGGUAGAGGUAGGUGGAAUUCGUGGGGGAGGGGUGAAAUGCUGAGAGA
rnacentral:rRNA from 1 species